rnacentral:rRNA from 1 species
GAUGAACGCUGGCGGCGUGCUUAACACAUGCAAGUCGAGCGAAGCGCUUUUGUUGAUUUCUUCGGAUUGAAACAAUUGUGACUGAGCGGCGGACGGGUGAGUAACGCGUGGGGAACCUGGCCCAUACAGGGGGAUAACAGUUAGAAAUGACUGCUAAUACCGCAUAAGCGCACGGAACCGCAUGGUUUUGUGUGAAAAACUCCGGUGGUAUGGGAUGGCCCCGCGUCUGAUUAGGUAGUUGGUGAGGUAACGGCCCACCAAGCCGACGAUCAGUAGCCGACCUGAGAGGGUGACCGGCCACAUUGGGACUGAGACACGGCCCAAACUCCUACGGGAGGCAGCAGUGGGGAAUAUUGCACAAUGGGGGAAACCCUGAUGCAGCGACGCCGCGUGAAGGAAGAAGUAUUUCGGUAUGUAAACUUCUAUCAGCAGGGAAGAAGAUGACGGUACC